rnacentral:rRNA from 1 species
GAUGAACGCUGGCGGCGUGCCUAAUACAUGCAGGUCGAGCGAACGGACGAGAAGCUUGCUUCUCUGAUGUUAGCGGCGGACGGGUGAGUAACACGUGGAUAACCUACCUAUAAGACUGGGAUAACUUCGGGAAACCGGAGCUAAUACCGGAUAAUAUUUUGAACCGGAUGGUUCAAAAGUGAAAGAGGGUCUUGCUGUCACUAAUAGAUGGAUCCGCGCUGGAUUAGCUAGUUGGUAAGGUAACGGCUUACCAAGGCAACGAUGCAUAGCCGACCUGAGAGGGUGAUCAGCCACACUGGAACUGAGACACGGUCCAGACUCCUACGGGAGGCAGCAGUGGGGAAUCUUCCACAAUGGGCGAAAGCCUGACGGAGCAACGCCGCGUGAGUGAUGAAGGUCUUCGGAUCGUAAAGCUCUGUUAUUAGGGAAGAACAUCAGUGUGAUAAUCCGUGCACGUCUUGACGGUACCUAAACAGAAAGCCCCGGCUAACUUCGUG